AGAAUUUUAUCUGACAAUUUUUCAGGCACUACAGCUUAAAAACAUAAUCAAUUUAUAAGCUUUAAAAUGACAUAUUCCAAUCUAAAAUCGAUUAAGGUAUGACCAAGAUAUAGCCAAAACGACCGCAUAGGCGGACAAACCUCAAUAGGGAAACAACCAAGAUUUUGUUCCAAUUUUAAGGUAAAAAGUAUUGUAACUGGACUUACCCGAACCGUUUAAUAAUUAUUGUGUUGCAAUAGUGCGGUUCCUCAAAUGCACAGAUCUAGGACAAGGUUGCUUCACCGAAAUAAUGUUUGUCCGAUAACACGGUUAGCCGAUUGUAAUUUUCAAUUAUGAUUGGUAAAACAAAAUAAUUCUACACAACCCGGUUCCACAAAACUACUGUUCGACGACGGUUAAUUCGCCGAAACCAUGAUUGGCCUACUGGCUGGCUACUACACGUGACAAUUGACUGUUUGACAAUUAUUGUUUUAAAUUCAACAUGUUCAAACACGGUGCCAAAUAUUUCAGCUGGAGAUGCAGUCUCGACUUAGAUAACGAUCGGUAAUAACCGAAUUCGGUAGCUAAAUCGUAACGAUUACACUUUAACGAUUUUUUUAAGUCUCAACAAUUAUAACUAUCGAUUUCGGUCGUUAAAGUAACGAAUUGAUCUGUCAAGUUAUCGUUUUCGCUCCAUACCGUAGCGAGCAAAUCUGACAGCCCGAUAACUGAGUUUGCGUUUCAUAUUGGGAAAUCGGAAAUAUAAAUAUUGCGAAAAAAGAUCACUUUUUUGAUUAUACCAAGUGUACAAGGAGUGAUGGCGGAAGCGUAUUUGGCUCUAGAUUUAAUUCUAGUCGAACAUCGACUCAAUAUGGUGAGACGUCGGCGAAUCGCGAGGAACCGGCGAAGUGGAUAAAACCCUCUUCUCUUAGAAGAAAGCGAGUUUUUGAGGCUAUAUCGAGUGUCCAAGGAUAUAUUCGAUGAACUCGUAGAUGUACUGCGUCCGUCUCUUCAAAGACGUCGACCUUACGGACUUCCUACUGAGACCCAAAUACUAACUGCACUGCGAUUUUAUGCCUCAGGUUGUUACUAACAACCUAUUGGUCUACAAUGGGGUAGCAGCAUGAGCCAGAAGGCAGUAAGCCGUGUGAUCCGCCAAGUGACCUUGGCAAUAAACACCCAUUUGCUUAGGAAAUAUAUAAAAUUUCCUAUGACACUAGGUGAAAGGCGUAAAAUGAAAGAUAAAUUUUUAAACGCUCCACAACAGUAUCCCAAUACGAUUGGAGCAGUGGAUUGCACACACAUAAAAAUUUUGGCACCAAGGAUACAUGAAGAAGCAUAUGUCAGCGGUCACCAUGAGGGUCAUUCAUUGAAUGUUCAAGCAGUCUGUGAUCCAGAUUUGUAUAUUUUAAAUAUUAAUGCUCGAUGGCCAGGGGCCAGGCAUGAUGCCCACAUAUGGGCAAAUUCCCCCGUUCGAAGAACCAUGCAAAGACAUUUUGAAAAUGGAGACCACAAUGCAUGGCUACUUGGUAAGUAAGGAAUAAAGUGUGCUAAUGGUAUGUCUGAUGAAAGAUGAAGCCCUAAUUUCAUUUUUGUUUUAAAAACUUUGACACCCUAUAAGAAAAAUAGUUUAU